ACUGACAGCCAUGGUUACCGCGGCUGCUGGCACGGAGUUAGCCGGUGCUUCUUCUGUGAGUGAUGUCCUUCCUGCCGGCUAUUAACCCGCAGGCCUUCUUCCUCACUGAAAGUGCUUUACAACCCGAAGGCCUUCUUCACACACGCGGCAUGGCUGGAUCAGGGUUGCCCCCAUUGUCCAAUAUUCCCCACUGCUGCCUCCCGUAGGAGUCUGGGCCGUGUCUCAGUCCCAGUGUGGCUGAUCAUCCUCUCAGACCAGCUACGGAUCGUCGCCUUGGUGAGCCGUUACCUCACCAACCAGCUAAUCCGACAUAGGCUCAUCCGAUAGCGCGAGGCCCGGAAGGUUCCCCCGCUUUCCCCCGUAGGGCGUAUGCGGUAUUAGCCUGGGUUUCCCCCAGGUUAUCCCCCACUACCGGGCAGAUUCCUAUGCAUUACUCACCCGUCCGCCGCUCGCCACCAGGGAGCAAGCUCCCCGUGCUGCCGCUCGACUUGCAUGUGUUGGCCUGCCGCCAGCGUUCAAUC
rnacentral:rRNA from 1 species